rnacentral:rRNA from 1 species
AUUGAACGCUGGCGGCAGGCCUAACACAUGCAAGUCGAACGAGUGGCGGACGGGUGAGUAAUGUCUGGGCACCUGCCCGAUGGAGUGGGAUAACUACUGUAAAAGGUAGCUAAUACCGCAUAACAUCGGAUGUGACCAGAUGGGCUUAGCUAGUAGGUGGGGUAACGGCUCACCUAGGCGACGAUCCCUAGCUGGUCUGAGAGGAUGACCAGCCACACUGGAACUGAGACACGGUCCAGACUCCUACGUGAGGCAGCAGUGGGGAAUAUUGCCCAAUGGGCGCAAGCCUGACGCAGCCAUGCCGCGUGUAUGAAGAAGGCCUUCGGGUUGUAAAGUACUUUCAGCGAGGAGGCGUUACUCGCAGAAGAAGCAACGGCUAACUCCGUGCCAGCCGCCGCGGUAAUUC